GGACGCCGUGCUGCCCUGGCUCGGCAGCUUUGGCCACGCCAAGACAGUCCUCAAUGCCAACGCCAGCCGCUUCGGCCAGGUCCUAGGUCUCCACCUGCAGCACGGGGUCAUCGUGGGAGCUUCUGUGUCACAUUAUCUGCUUGAGACCUCGAGGGUGGUGUUUCAGGCCCAGACUGAGCGGAGCUUCCAUGUUUUCUACGAGCUGCUGGUGGGGCUGGACCCCACGGAACGGGAGCAGCUGUCCCUGCAGGAGCCAGAGACCUACUACUACCUCAACCAGG